rnacentral:lncRNA from 1 species
GGCUGCAGUCCCUUCCUUUUGGACACCUCUCAUUUUGUCACUCCUUCACGAUAGUUGACACAGGGCUGACCCAGCUUCCAGCCGAGGGCAGGGCUGUGCUUAACGAGCUCGUUCUCGCUGUUUCUCCAGCAGCAUUGGCUCAGGAACAUUUCUCAGGAAAGAAUGGAGAGCUGCAAGGAGCUCAGAACCAUCGGGUGCAGGAAACGUGGCAAUUCCCGACAAGUAAGUAGCACAGCCCUAAUCCUGGUGCAUGCCA